GAGUAAAGCCUAGGAAUCUGCCUGGUAGUGGGGGAUAACGCUCGGAAACGGACGCUAAUACCGCAUACGUCCUACGGGAGAAAGCAGGGGACCUUCGGGCCUUGCGCUAUCAGAUGAGCCUAGGUCGGAUUAGCUAGUUGGUGAGGUAAUGGCUCACCAAGGCGACGAUCCGUAACUGGUCUGAGAGGAUGAUCAGUCACACUGGAACUGAGACACGGUCCAGACUCCUACGGGAGGCAGCAGUGGGGAAUAUUGGACAAUGGGCGAAAGCCUGAUCCAGCCAUGCCGCGUGUGUGAAGAAGGUCUUCGGAUUGUAAAGCACUUUAAGUUGGGAGGAAGGGCAUUAACCUAAUACGUUAGUGUUUUGACGUUACCGACAGAAUAAGCACCGGCUAACUCUGUGCCAGCAGCCGCGGUAAUACAGAGGGUGCAAGCGUUAAUCGGAAUUACUGGGCGUAAAGCGCGCGUAGGUGGUUCGUUAAGUUGGAUGUGAAAUCCCC
rnacentral:rRNA from 1 species